GGACCCGCACAAGCGGUGGAGCAUGUGGUUUAAUUCGAUGCAACGCGAAAAACCUUACCUAUACUUGACAUACUUGGAAUGCUUUGUAAUGAAGCAGUGCCUUCGGGAGCCAGGAUACAGGUGCUGCAUGGCUGUCGUCAGCUCGUGUCGUGAGAUGUUCCGUUAAGUCGGAUAACGAGCGCAACCCUUACCCUUAUUUGCCAGCGAUUCGGUCGGGAACUAUAAGGGGACUGCCGGUGAUAAACCGGAGGAAGGUGAGGACGACGUCAAGUCAUCAUGGCCCUUACGUAUAGGGCUACACACGUGCUACAAUGGGGAAUACAGACGGACGCUAAGCCGCGAGGUGGUG
rnacentral:rRNA from 1 species